UACGAGGGGGGCUAGCGUUGCUCGGAAUCACUGGGCGUAAAGGGCGCGUAGGCGGCCAUUCAAGUCAGAGGUGAAAGCCCAAGGCUCAACCUUGGAACUGCCUUUGAUACUGUUUGGCUUGAGACCGGUAGAGGUAAGUGGAACUGCGAGUGUAGAGGUGAAAUUCGUAGAUAUUCGCAAGAACACCAGUGGCGAAGGCGGCUUACUGGACCGGUUCUGACGCUGAGGCGCGAAAGCGUGGGGAGCAAACAGG
rnacentral:rRNA from 1 species